rnacentral:piRNA from 1 species
CGACGUGCGUCUGUGGAGGAGCGC